UUUCCGUAGGUGAACCUGCGGAAGGAUCAUUAAUGAAUUGAAAAGGACGUUCUCUUUAGAAGUCCGACCCAACUUCAUUCUCACCCACACUGUGCACACACACACACUUUACACACCCACACCUUUAAAACUCGUAUAAUAAGUCUUACAAGGAUGUAAAAGUCUCUUAAUUGAGCAUAAACAUAUAAAUAAAACUUUCAGCAGCGGAUCUCUUGGCUCUCACAUCGAUGAAGAACGCAGC
rnacentral:misc_RNA from 1 species